GAAUUUUUCUGCCCACCCACUCUACCAGCUAAUUUUCCGAAGACUAAUUAGGUUGUUGAAUAUUUUUUUAAAAUGCUCCACUUCCGGAGACAAAGAAAGGGUAUAGCAACCUGAUACUUGCUAUACAUAAAGAUUGGUAAGAGGAAAAAACCCUGUCAGGGAGGAAAUCUUAUUUUGCAGAGUGAAGUAGAGGAAUUAGACUUGACUAUUUCUGGAAUACGAACUUAGCUAGGCGAGGAGACUCUAUUUCCUGAUUUAGGGUUUUCCAUGGCCAAUCUCCACUGUGACCUCGUGGACAAAAAAUGAUUUUUGUUUUCUUCAGAGAAGAACAAGUAGGUGGUUGAUUUAGAGGCUGUUGGACUGGCUCAAUUUUCAGAACAAGUGAUUUACUGUGGAUCUUUCAGAAUUCCUCUUUUAAUAAGUUUUAUUUUUAAAGAAAAGCAAUGAUAACUGAGAUUUCUGGUCCUCUGACCAAGUAGAUGAAAGUUAUCAAAGGGCAAGCAGCACCAGGUUUCCUUGUCCCACUUGUGCCCAGAAGAAGAAGAAGAAGAAAUUCAGAUGCUGCUGAAGUCUAGCAAGGACACAGAGCCGCAGUGGUGUUUAGUUCCUGUUGAAGGUCAGCCUGCAACAAGCUUGGCAUCCAGGAAGCAAUUCAAUUCUGUUUAGAAAUCGUAUCUGCAAGUGUUGAAACAUGCUGAGGAGAGAAAUACUUAAAUUUUACAGGAAAGAGCAAAAUCAAGUAUAUGCUUUCAAUGGACUUAGCUCUUUCAGGAUAUUUUCUGCCUUGGUACUAAAACUCCUAAUGCGGUACCCCGAGCCAAAGACAACAAAUACCUUCGUGCACAGCAUCUCUCCACCCUCCCUCGCUCAGGCAGCUACUGUGAGGCAGUCACAGUGUUUGUUUAUGAAAACUUCAAAGAUAAAGACUACCCAAUGGUGUCAAAAGAAAAAGCAACAGCAGUAAAGGCAUCCAGAUGUGACUGCACAUGGUACAUUGGAAAAAACACGGGCUGUCAAGUCAGACAGAUGGAGGCUCAAACCCUGAUUCUACCACUUAAAAGCCUUGACGAUUGACGUUCUCUGAAAUUUUGCUUCCUUGUCUGUGAAAGGGGGCUCUUAAGAAUGCAUCACAUGGAAUUGCUAUAGGAAUGAAAUGAGACGUAUCCUGUCAAGUAGUACGAAUAUUAUCUCUGGUGAACAAUAAUUUUCAAUUUCCUUCUCCUCCCUCACCUCCAGACAUCUAGAUGGAAUGGUCUCUGGUUAACUUAAAAGCCAUCUCUAAUUUCGGCUUCCAAACGUGUAAUACCAUAAUAACUACAAAUAAAUGACAACAACAAUCAAUGAUGUAGUACUCUGAUUAUUGAGUGGUAUUUGGCUUCUG
rnacentral:lncRNA from 1 species